rnacentral:rRNA from 1 species
GACGAACGCUGGCGGCGUGCUUAACACAUGCAAGUCGAACGGAAAGGCCCCUUUGGGGGUCCUCGAGUGGCGAACGGGUGAGUAACACGUGAGUAACCUGCCCUUGACUUCGGGAUAACUUCAGGAAACUGGGGCUAAUACCGGAUAGGAAUCCUUGCUGCAUGGUGGGGGUUGGAAAGCUUCGGCGGUUUUGGAUGGACUCGCGGCUUAUCAGCUUGUUGGUGGGGUAGUGGCUUACCAAGGCUUUGACGGGUAGCCGGCCUGAGAGGGCGACCGGCCACAUUGGGACUGAGAUACGGCCCAGACUCCUACGGGAGGCAGCAGUGGGGAAUAUUGCACAAUGGGCGGAAGCCUGAUGCAGCAACGCCGCGUGCGGGAUGACGGCCUUCGGGUUGUAAACCGCUUUCAGCAGGGGCGAAGCUUUUGUGACGGUACCUGCAGAAGAAGCACCGGCUAACUACGU